UGGGGGGCUGGGCUCGGGGAAGAAGGGGUGGCAGGGUGCAGGCACACUUGCUGCUGUGGGGUCUGAUCUGUUUCUCACUCUGCCCCACACCCACUGGGGAGGGGUUACUGCUUUCCCUCCCUGGGCCUCAGUUUCCCCUCUGUGGGGAAAUGUUUUCUCCACAGUACCCUGUUAGCACACAGUAGGCCCUCAGGAUGCACUUGCUGGGUGGAUUUCUCCGAUGGGUGAUGGAGGAAGGGUCUGUCACUGCAGCUGCCUGUGGGAUCCUGAGUGGGGCUCUAGCUGUUUGACCGGCAAGCAGAAGUGACCAGUCAGCAGGGCUGCCCCCGAAUGGCCCUCACAGAGCAAGUCCCACCGGGGAGGGUGUGGGCGCAGGGGCAGGGCACCCUGGAAUGCCGGAGCAAGGUCUGGUAGAGGACGGGAAUGGGGACGGAAUUUUUUGUUCUGAGGGC
rnacentral:lncRNA from 1 species